CUUCUACAGGCUAGAGGACUAUUAUGUUUCUCCCUUGGCUAUGUUUGGGAUACACUCAGAAGUCAAGGGGGAAUGACCCUGCUCUUCAGAUCAAAGAAUAUUUGAAAAUG